rnacentral:rRNA from 1 species
UACGUAGGGUGCAAGCGUUGUCCGGAAUUAUUGGGCGUAAAGAGCGUGUAGGCGGCCAGGUAGGUCUGCUGUGAAAACUCGAGGCUUAACCUCGAGAUGUCGGCGGAAACCAUCUGGCUAGAGUCCGGAAGAGGAGAGUGGAAUUCCUGGUGUAGCGGUGAAAUGCGCAGAUAUCAGGAGGAACACCGGUGGCGAAGGCGGGUCGCUGGGCCGCUACUGACGCUGAGAAGCGAAAGCAUGGGGAGCGAACAGG